rnacentral:tRNA from 1 species
GGACUGUAGCUCAGUGGCAGGGCACUUGCCUUACAAGUGUGAGGCACUGGGUUCAAUUCUCAGCACCA